GACGAACGCUGGCGGCGUGCUUAACACAUGCAAGUCGAACGGAAAGGCCCUGCUUUUGUGGGGUGCUCGAGUGGCGAACGGGUGAGUAACACGUGAGUAACCUGCCCUUGACUUUGGGAUAACUUCAGGAAACUGGGGCUAAUACCGGAUAGGAGCUCCUGCUGCAUGGUGGGGGUUGGAAAGUUUCGGCGGUUGGGGAUGGACUCGCGGCUUAUCAGCUUGUUGGUGGGGUAGUGGCUUACCAAGGCUUUGACGGGUAGCCGGCCUGAGAGGGUGGCCGGCCACAUGAGGACUGCGAUACGGCCCAGACUCCUACGGGAGGCAGCAGUGGGGAGUAUGGCACAAUGGGGGGAAGCCUGAUGCAGCGACGCCGCGGGCGGGAUGACGGCCUUCGGGUUGUAAACCGCUUUCGCCUGUGACGAAGCGUGAGUGACGGUAAUGGGUAAAGAAGCACCGGCUAACUACGUG
rnacentral:rRNA from 1 species